GUUUCAGCCGCCGCGGUAAUACGGAGGGUGCGAGCGUUGUCCGGAAUCACUGGGCGUAAAGGGCGCGUAGGCGGUUGCCUAAGCGUGCGGUGAAAGCCUGGGGCUCAACCCCGGGUCGGCCGUGCGAACUGGGUGACUCGAGCACUGUAGAGGCAGGCGGAAUUCCGGGUGUAGCGGUGGAAUGCGUAGAGAUCCGGAAGAACACCGGUGGCGAAGGCGGCCUGCUGGGCAGUGGCUGACGCUGAGGCGCGACAGCGUGGGGAGCAAACAGGAUUAGAUACCCUCGUAGUCC
rnacentral:rRNA from 1 species